AGAGGGUGCCUGAGGCUCAUGAGAACAGCCAGGUUUCCGCUUGGGAAAGGAAAGUGAAAUGAGCUUGCCCACUCUUCUUCUAGCGUUCUUCCUCCCACCCCACCUUUCCCCCACGCUCCCAGGGGAGGGUGAGUGUAGGGACAAACACCAUCCCACACCCAUUCCAGCAUAAUCCAUCAUUAGAGGAAGUAGGGAGAAGGCUUUGAUUGGGAUUUUGUAAAGCUUACACAUUUCGGCAAUCUUUCCUCUUUGGGGGGAAAGGUAUCUCACUCAAGGUGUUGUUGUUCAACUAUAUAUAUUUAAGUACAUUAGAAGAUUGGAUUCUGUCAACUCUUUUAUUACCUCAGAUUAUUUUUAAAAAAUAAGCCAAUAACAAGUUUUGAAGGCCAUUUUACCAUCCUUGCUCCCAAACAAUUCUGUGGUGCCUGACAGGUUAACUCCUGAGGGCUUGUGUCUACUUUUUCAAAGUCAACAGGUUUUUCUGUGUAUGCGUGUUCUGUAGUUUCCAUAGUAAGAGAGAAAAUAUAGAAAUAUUAUGCAAAAAAAUAUAGUUUUCUUUAGGUCAGGAACUGACAUUUAUUAGUCAGCCAUAUAUCUAUAUCUAUAUCUCUCUAUAUAUAUAUAUUGUUUAAAGAAUUUCAAAUAAAGUGCCACCAUGUCACACCGUGGAGAGGAGCAUCACCAGCUGUUUGGCAUGACAGGUGACUCAGUAUGUUUGUAAUUGGUUAAAAACAACAACCAAUAUACUAUACUUACUUUCUCCAAACAGCCAUCUUUAUAUUUAGGGAAAAAAUUUGUUGGGUUCUAGACUUUUUUAAUAUAAAUUUUGUUGAUACAGAAUUGAAUAAGUUCAAGUGUUUCUGUGCAUAUGUUUUUAUAUGUUUUUUUUUUCUAUUCAGUUUCAGUAAUCCAGGUGGCAGUGUGUAAAUAUGAUAUCAGUUAUGACACUUUCCCCUAAAUGGUGCUUCGGAUUUGAAAGAGGUCAGAUGGGGAGAGAGAAUAUAUCCUAGAGCCUUCUUUUGAUAAACCUGGAUAGAUAGGUAAGAACCUGCUGGUAGUGAAGGAAGCACCCACAAAGAGGCUCCUUAGCUGUGGGGCCACGGCAGGUGCUGCCGUGGAGGAGAGCCAGGCUUGUUGGUACUCAGGAGUGAGGAUCAGUUGGGUUUCUGUUUCUUAAGAAAUUAGUGGGCAGAGUAGUAUCAAUGAUGGAUGGUCUCUGCUAGUGAGCAAGGGUACUCCAAUGUGGGGUCUACAGUUCUUUAUGCUUCCUUCCCUUUCUCCUCCCCCCGGAGAGACCCCACUAGUGAGGUUCUGUGUAUGACUCUGAGUUGUAACAACCUGCUGAUACAGCAGAGAGGAGCCAGAGCUCCAAACUGGAAAAGAUCAAUGCAACAACAAUGGCUACUUGUAGCUCCGGCUGACAGUCUCAGGACUAGGCCUUCUCAAUAGUUCUUCCAUGUCCUUUCCAGUACUUUUCCCAUCCCAAAAGCUGUAGGAGAGACCAGCUAGAAACCCUCCGGACCCUUGGAAGUUCCUCGGGGUUGGAUUUCUUUUUUGCCUUCAAGCUUUAGGGGAGAGUUGCAAAGAUCAAUCAGAGGGAUUACCUCACUGCCAAAAACACAAGGGAACUUGAGUGUGCCCGAAUCCUCGCCCAGACCCCGCUCUUUCUCCCCACUCCCCUCGCCUUACAGUUGAAGCUACCAGUGGCACCAUUCCAGUCUGCACAUCCAAUCACUUUCUGCAUCUAGGGUCCACCCCAUGGCACUUAGGGGUGGGCACUUGCAAUGCCUGCUGUUCUAAAGCCAUUCCGGCCUCCUCCUCAGAAUAGACCAGAUACUCUCGGUCCCUUCCGUUUUAGCUCAGAGCCAGAACUUUUACCUUCCCAGUCUGCAGUUCGGCCUGCUGCCUCCUUUCUUCUUGGUUGGGAGAGGUGAAGGAAGGUGAGAUUCCCUGCAACGGAAUCGACCUUUGGCCCGUAUUUUCUCCCUGUAUGUAUAUAUGCCAUAUGUAAAUAUGCCAUAUAUGUGCCAACAAAUUGUUCUACGCCAUCUUUUCUAAUCAGCAUGCAGAUAGGAAUUUUGAGUUUCUUCUCAGUAACUAGUAUAAUGAGCACUGGUAUUUUUGUACAAAACAAAAAGAAAAAAAAAUUGACUUUUGUGGUCUGCAUGACAGACAUGUUAUCAAAGCAAUGUAUACCCUAGCGUGUGUGGCCAUAGUUUGCAGUUCAGCUGAGCAGUGCACCCAAUCUGUAUUUGCAUUUGAUAUUAUUUAAGCUCUAUGUAUAAUGUUUUGCAUGUAUUUAUAUGGUUCUUGGGAGGGGGGAUGCUAGAAACUGACAAAUCUAUACUGCAAAUGUGUUAUACAACUGACACGGGAAGAAAAGGAGUUUUAAAGGGGGUGACUUUUUGGAACCAAUAAAGCUUUUUGCUGAUGAACAGAAACCAAUGCCAUGCACUGAGAAUAAAAACCCAUGCCCACUUGU
rnacentral:lncRNA from 1 species